rnacentral:rRNA from 1 species
GACGAACGCUGGCGGCGUGCUUAACACAUGCAAGUCGAACGGAAAGGCCCUGCUUUUGUGGGUUGCUCGAGUGGCGAACGGGUGAGUAACACGUGAGUAACCUGCCCUUGACUUUGGGAUAACUUCAGGAAACUGGGGCUAAUACCGGAUAGGAGCUCCUGCUGCAUGGUGUGGGGUGGAAAGAUUCGGCGGUUGGGGCUGGACUCGCGGCUUAUCAGCUUGUUGGUGGGGUAGUGGCUUACCAAGGAUUUGACGGGUAGCCGGCCUGAGAGGGUGACCGGCCACAUUGGGACUGAGAUACGGACCAGACUCCUACGGGAGGCAGCAGUGGGGAAUAUUGCACAAUGGGCGGAAGCCUGAUGCAGCAACGCCGCGUGCGGGAUGACGGCCUUCGGGUUGUAAACCGCUUUCGCCUGUGACGAAGCGUGAGUGACGGUAAUGGGUAAAGAAGCACCGGCUAACUACGUG